GGGGGUAUGGCGAAAUUGGUAGACGCUGCGGACUUAAUAUCCGUUGGCUUUUUAGACCGUGAGGGUUCAAGUCCCUCUACCCCCA
rnacentral:tRNA from 1 species